rnacentral:pre_miRNA from 1 species
GGCUAAGGGUAGGGGUUUCUUUCGGCCUCCAGCAGAGUAGGAGGAGUUGUAGGCCGGCGGAAACUACUUGCCUUUACGC